GUGAUAGAAUGGGACUUAUUGCAAGUGAUUGACAUCUACAAUUAAACAGAACAAAGCAUUUGAAUUUUAAUGUUUUACAAAAAAAAAAUAUUAACUCAGAUCAAAUAAUAACCCCAAAUUCCAUAUAUAAGUAAGCACAAAUAUGGAAUUGUUCAAGCCACAAUCAAUAGGCACCAAACAGAUUCCAUAGGCUCUGAUUGACAAAUUGAAAGAAGAUGGAUAGUCUUGUCUUUU
rnacentral:misc_RNA from 1 species